rnacentral:rRNA from 1 species
AGUGAACGCUGGCGGUAGGCCUAACACAUGCAAGUCGAACGGCAGCACAGUAAGAGCUUGCUCUUACGGGUGGCGAGUGGCGGACGGGUGAGGAAUACAUCGGAAUCUACUUUUUCGUGGGGGAUAACGUAGGGAAACUUACGCUCAUACCGCAUACGACCUACGGGUGAAAGCAGGGGAUCUUCGGACCUUGCGCGAUUGAAUGAGCCGAUGUCGGAUUAGCUAGUUGGCGGGGUAAAGGCCCACCAAGGCGACGAUCCGUAGCUGGUCUGAGAGGAUGAUCAGCCACACUGGAACUGAGACACGGUCCAGACUCCUACGGGAGGCAGCAGUGGGGAAUAUUGGACAAUGGGCGCAAGCAUGAUCCAGCCAUACCGCGUGGGUGAAGAAGGCCUUCGGGUUGUAAAGACCUUUUGUUGGGAAAGAAAAGCAGCAGGUUAAUACCCCGCUGUUCUGACGGUACCCAAAGAAUAAGCACCGGCUAACUUCGUG